rnacentral:rRNA from 1 species
GCGGCGGACGGGUGAGUAACGCGUGGGUAACCUGCCUCAUACGGGGGGAUAACAGUUAGAAAUGACUGCUAAUACCGCAUAGUAUGAGAUGGACCCGCGUCUGAUUAGGUAGUUGGUGGGGUAACGGCCUACCAAGCCGACGAUCAGUAGCCGACCUGAAGGGUGACCGGCCACAUUGGGACUGAGACACGGCCCAGACUCCUACGGGAGGCAGCAGUGGGGAAUAUUGCACAAUGGAGGAAACUCUGAUGUUUCUACGCCGCGUGAAGGAUGAAGUAUUUCGGUAUGUAAACUUCUAUCAGCAGGGAAGCGGUACCUGACUAAGAAGCCCCGGCUAACUACGUGCCAGCAGCCGCGGUAAUACGUAGGGGGCAAGCGUUAUCCGGAUUUACUGGGUGUAAAGGGAGCGUAGACGGCACGGCAAGCCAGAUGUGAAAGCCCGGGGCUCAACCCCGGGACUGCAUUUGGAACUGCUGAGCUAGAGUGUCGGAGAGGCAAGUGGAAUUCCUAGUGUAGCGGUGAAAUGCGUAGAUAUUAGGAGGAACACCAGUGGCGAAAGCGGCUUGCUGGACGAUGACUGACGUUGAGGCUCGAAAGCGUGGGGAGCAAACAG